AGCUUUGCGCAGUGGCAGUAUCGUAGCCAAUGAGGUUUAUCUGAGGCACGAUUAUUGCUAAUUAAAAUAAUUAUGACUAAUAUUUAUGGCUUUAAUGAAAAUGGUAGACAUAUGAAUGUCAAUGAAACCAAAGUCAAGUGGU